GAUGAAGAACGUAGCGAAAUGCGAUACUUGGUGUGAAUUGCAGAAUCCCGUGAACCAUCGAGUCUUUGAACGCAAGUUGCGCCUCAAGCCAUUAGGUUGAGGGCACGUCUGCCUGGGCGUCACAUAUCGUUGCCUGAUGCCAGUUUCCUCGUGAUGGGUGACUGUGCAGGGCGAAUGAUGGCUUCCCGUGAGCAUUGUUGCCUCAUGGUUGGUUGAAAAUUGAGUCCUUGGUAGGGAGCGCCGUGAUAGAUGGUGGUUGAGUGACGAACGAGACCCAAUCAUGUGAGACCCCUACAGAAUUUGGCCUUCAUGACCCACAUGCGUCUUUGGAACGCUCAUGACGAGACCUCAGGUCAGGCGGGGCUACCCGCUGAGUUUAAGCAUAUCAAUAAGCGGAGGA
rnacentral:misc_RNA from 1 species